rnacentral:rRNA from 1 species
UAUUAAAAAACUACAACGAAGAGUUUGAUCCUGGCUCAGGAUGAACGCUAGCGGCAGGCUUAACACAUGCAAG